rnacentral:rRNA from 1 species
UUGAUCCUGGCUCAGAAUCAACGCUGGCGGCAUGCCUAACACAUGCAAGUCGAGCGAGAAAAGGGUAGCAAUACCCUGAGUAAAGCGGCGCACGGGUGAUUAACACGUGGAUAACCUGCCUCAAAGUGGGGAAUAACACCGGGAAACCGUUGCUAAUACCGCAUAUUCUGAUGGAGUCUGAGGACUUUGUCAGUAAAGGUGCAAUUCGCUAUGAGAGGGGUCCGCGGCUGAUUAGCUAGUUGGUGAGGUUAUGGCUCACCAAGGCAACGAUCAGUAGCCGGUCUGAGAGGACGGUCGGCUACACUGGAACUGAGACACGGUCCAGACUCCUACGGGAGGCAGCAGUGGGUAAUUUUUCGCAAUGGGGGCAACCCUGACGAAGCAAUGCCGCGUGGAUGAUGAAGUAUUUCGGUACGUAAAAUCCUUUCGACGGGGACGAAACCGCAAGGUUGACGGUACCCGUAGAAGAAGCCCCGGCUAACUCCGUGCCAGCAGCCGCUGUAAUAAGGU